rnacentral:tRNA from 1 species
GCGGAAGUAGCUCAGUUGGUAGAGCACAACCUUGCCAAGGUUGGGGUCGCGAGUUCGAAUCUCGUCUUCCGCU